AAGUAACUGGGGAUACUGGUUUGUACUGGGAGGGACUGGGAGGGGAACUGGGAGGGACUGGGAGGGGAUUGGGAGGGACUGGGGGGGACUGGGGAUACUGGUUUGUACUGGUUUGUACUUGUUUGUUCUCGGGGUGACUGGGAGGAGGGUCGGGGAGCACUGGGGGGGCAUUACUGGUUCGAACUGUCUGGAACUGGUUUGUACUGGUUUAACUGGUUUGUACUUGUUCUAACUGGUCUGUACUCAUUCACACUGGUCUGUACUGGUUCUAACUGGUUUGUACUGGUUUUAUUGGCCUCUAACUGGUCCGUACUUGUCCGUACUGGUCUCUAACUGGUCCAUACUGGUUUAUACUGGUCUCUAACUGGUCUGUACUGGUCCAUACUGGUCCCUGCUGGUCUCUAACUGGUCUGUACUGGUCCGUACUGGUCCGUACUGGUCUCUAACUGGUCCAUACUGGUCUCUAACUGGUCCGUACUGGUCCGUACUGGUCCAUACUGGUCCGUACUGGUCCAUACCGGUCCCUACUGGUCCAUACCGGUCCCUACUGGUCCAUACUGGUCCAUACUGGUCCCUACUGGUCUCUAACUGUUCCGUACUGGUCCCAGGACGGGGGAGCCGGAUGAGGCCGAGGGCGCGCUGCGGCAAUUGAUGAGACGUCUCUCCACCCGCAUGAGAUGAAAUUUUGGGAUCCCCGAAAUUCCGGGGGGGCCCCGACCCGGCCGGAUGGAGCCGCCGAACCCAAAAAUCCCCCAAAACCCCCAAAAUACCCAAAAAUCCCCCAAAAUCCCCAAAAAUCCCCAAAAUCCCCCAAAAUCCCCAAAAACCCCAAAAAAUCCCAAAAUCCCCACCUCAGACGGCCCAAAAAUCCCAAAACUCCCAAAACUCCAAAUCCUGACCAAAAAAAUCCCCAAAAUUUCCCCCAAAAUCCCAAACGCUGACCCCAAAAAUCAAAAAAAAAUUUAAAAAAUCCCAAAAAUCCCAAAAAAAUCCUCAAAAUCCCAAACGCUGACCCCAAAAAUCCCAAAUCCCCACCCUAAAAAUCCCCAGAUUUGACCCAAAUAUCCCAAAUCCUGACCCCAAAAAUCCCCCAAAAUUCCCUAAAAAUCCCCAAAAUCCCCCAAAUAUCCCAAAUCCUGACCCCAAAAAUCCCCAAAUCCUAAAUGCCCAUCCCCAAAAUCCCCAAAAAUCCCCAAAAUCCCAAAUCCUGACCCCAAAAAUUCCCAAAAUUCACCCAAAUUCCCAAAUCCCCACCCCCAAAAUCCCCAAAAUCCCAAAAUCCCAAAUCCUGACACCAAGAAUACCAAAAAAUCCCAAAGAAAUCCCCAAAAUCCCCCCAAAAUCCCCCAAAUAUCCCAAAUCCUGAACCAAAAAUCCCCAAAUCCCCCAAAUCCCCUCAAAAAUUCCCCAAAUCUCCCCAAAAAAUCCCAAAUCUCCCCAAAUUUCCCCCAAAAUCCCCAAAUAAAGGAAGCCCCGUUCGGUCCUGGUGCCGAAAUUUGGGGAUUUGGGG